UUGCUUGCUUUGACAGCACAUAUACUAAAAUCAGAAUAAUACAGAGAAGAUGAGCAUGGUCCCUGCACAAGGAUGACAUGCAAAUCUGUGAAGCAUUCCAUAUUUUU
rnacentral:snRNA from 10 species